ACUUAUACAUGCGAGCAUCUACACGCCGGUGAGGAAGACGAUAUAAUCUUAUUUUAUAAGGUAAUGUGGUUGGUAUCAGGCACAAUAGUUGGCCCAAGACAUCUAGCGUAAAUUGCCACACCCAUAAGGGCUAGCAGCAGUGAUUAAUAUUAGAUAUGAGCGAAAGCUUGAUUUAGUUAAUGUGAUUUGGGCCGGCAAAUUCUGUGCCAGCCGCCGCGGUUACACAGUUAUGGGCUCUUAUUGAUGUUUAUCGGCGUAAAGGGUGAUUAAGGUUAAGUACAUGAAGGUAGGAUCAAACUUAAAUUAAGAUGUAAUAAUCUUGUUUUUUGGAAGCUCAGACACGAAAGUUAUUCUAUUUCUAUACCCUGAGUUCACGACAGCUAGGGUUCAAACGGGGAUUUGGUACCCCCUUAUGCCUAGCCGUAAACUUUAAUUUACAAGACAGCCGCCAGGAUACUACGAGUUAAACUUAAAACCCAAAGGACUUGACGGUGCUUCAAAUCCAGCUAGAGGAGCCUGUCCCGUAAUCGAUGGUCCGCGUUUAACCCUACCAACUCUGGCUUAUCAACUUGUAUACUUCCGUCGCAAGUCUACCACAUGAGUGAAAAUCAGUAGGCUCAAGGUUUGUACAGUACGUCAGGUCAAGGUGCAGUAUAUGGGUUGGUGGAGAUGGGCUACACUUUCUAAUGUAGAAGAUACGAAAGACUUUAUGAAACCCAGUCAGAAGGUGGAUUUAGUAGUAAAAGGGGGACAUAAUGCCUCUUUUAAUAAGGUACUGGGGUGUGUACACACCGCCCGUCACCCUCUUCGAGAGAUUUUAAAUAUAAGUAUGUAACAUUUAACAUAAUCAGAGAAGAGGCAAGUCGUAACAUGGUAA
rnacentral:rRNA from 1 species